CAAAGGGAUUACCGGUGGCGGAUGGGCAUGCGGCGCAUUAGCUAGUCGGCGGGGUAACGGCCCACCGAGGCGACGAUGCGUAGGGGUUCUGAGAGGAAGGUCCCCCACACUGGUACUGAGACACGGACCAGACUCCUACGGGAGGCAGCAGUGAGGAAUAUUGGUCAAUGGGCGCGAGCCUGAACCAGCCAAGUCGCGUGAGGGAUGACGGUCCUACGGAUUGUAAACCUCUUUUGCCGGGGAGCAAGCGUGCGUUCGUGAACGCGCGUCGAGAGUACCCGGAGAAAAAGCAUCGGCUAACUCCGUGCCAGCAGCCGCGGUAAUACGGAGGAUGCGAGCGUUAUCCGGAUUUAUUGGGUUUAAAGGGUGCGUAGGCGGGAUGCCAAGUCAGCGGUAAAAAUGCGGUGCUCAACGCCGUCGAGCCGUUGAAACUGGCGUUCUUGAGUGGGCGAGAAGUAUGCGGAAUGCGUGGUGUAGCGGUGAAAUGCAUAGAUAUCACGCAGAACUCCGAUUGCGAAGGCAGCAUACCGGCGCCCUACUGACGCUGAGGCACGAAAGCGUGGGUAUCGAACAGGACUAGAUACCCUGGUAGUCCACGCAGUAAACGAUGAAUGCUAACUGUCCGGCUCGAAUGAGCGCUGG
rnacentral:rRNA from 1 species